UACGUAGGGGGCGAGCGUUGUCCGGAAUUAUUGGGCGUAAAGCGCGCGCAGGCGGUCCCUUAAGUCUGAUGUGAAAGCCCACGGCUUAACCGUGGAGGGUCAUUGGAAACUGGGGGACUUGAGUGCAGAAGAGGAGAGCGGAAUUCCACGUGUAGCGGUGAAAUGCGUAGAGAUGUGGAGGAACACCAGUGGCGAAGGCGGCUCUCUGGUCUGUAACUGACGCUGAGGCGCGAAAGCGUGGGGAGCAAAC
rnacentral:rRNA from 2 species